UUCACGGAGAGUUUGAUCCUGGCUCAGGACGAACGCUGGCGGCGUGCUUAACACAUGCAAGUUAGUGGCGAACGGGUGAGUAACACGUGGGCAAUCUGCCCUGCACUCUGGGACAAGCCCUGGAAACGGGGUCUAAUACCGGAUAUGACCGUCCAUCGCAUGG
rnacentral:rRNA from 1 species